UACGGAGGGUGCAAGCGUUAAUCGGAAUUACUGGGCGUAAAGCAUGCGUAGGCGGCCUGUUAAGUCAGAUGUGAAAGCCCCGGGCUCAACCUGGGAACGGCAUUUGAAACUGGCAGGCUAGAGUUAGGUAGGGGGGAGCGGAAAUUCAGGUGUAGCGGUGAAACGCGUAGAUAUCUGAAGGAACACCAGUGACGAAGGCGGCUCCCUGGACCCAAACUGACGCUGAGGUACGAAAGCGUGGGUAGCAAACAGG
rnacentral:rRNA from 1 species